AACGGGGAGGAGCCCAGAGCCUGAAUCAGCAUGUGUGUUAGUGGAAGCGUCUGGAAAGGCGCGCGAUACAGGGUGACAGCCCCGUACACAAAAGCGCAUGUGCUGUGAGCUCGAUGAGUAGGGCGGGACACGUGGUAUCCUGUCUGAAUAUGGGGGGACCAUCCUCCAAGGCUAAAUACUCCUGACUGACCGAUAGUGAACCAGUACCGUGAGGGAAAGGCGAAAAGAACCCCGGCGAGGGGAGUGAAAAAGAACCUGAAACCGUGUACGUACAAGCAGUGGGAGCCCCACCACCAAAGCAUUCUCUGGUGUUGAAGGCCCUGCAAAGCAGCAUCGCGGUGGCGGAGCGUCGUUUGCGACGCCCAACACACAAAACAAGCGGUGAAUGCUUUGGGGUGGGGUGACUGCGUACCUUUUGUAUAAUGGGUCAGCGACUUAUAUUCUGUAGCAAGGUUAACCGAAUAGGGGAGCCGGAGGGAAACCGAGUCUUAAUUGGGCGUUAAGUUGCAGGGUAUAGACCCGAAACCCGGUGAUCUAGCCAUGGGCAGGUUGAAGGUUGGGUAACACUAACUGGAGGACCGAACCGACUAAUGUUGAAAAAUUAGCGGAUGACCUGUGGCUGGGGGUGAAAGGCCAAUCAAACCGGGAGAUAGCUGGUUCUCCCCGAAAGCUAUUUAGGUAGCGCCUCGUGAAUUCAGUGA
rnacentral:rRNA from 1 species